UUUUUCUUAGUAGAUUUGAGAUGUACUUUUGGUGCCAGCAAAGACAUGGUAGAAAUAUCCAAAUCUGGAAUUUGUGGUGGUUUCAUACGUCAUUGUAGCUUGCAGCUUAAAAUUCAAAUGUAAAUUUUAUUGCACCUAACCUUUGGUGAUUAGUCUAUGAGAUCAUUGUUCUUGGGAUGAUGUUUAUUUUGAUUUUCUAAGGUUUUUAUGAUUAUUUCUCUGCUUUGAUGUAAGAUUGCAACACCUGCAAGUGAG
rnacentral:misc_RNA from 1 species